GCGGAUGUGGUGUAAGUGGGAACAUCAGAGACUGCCAAGCUCUAGUUACGAGUUCGAUCCUCGUCAUCCGCU
rnacentral:tRNA from 1 species